rnacentral:rRNA from 1 species
UAAGACGAACCGGACAAACGUUAUUCGGAAUUACUGGGCUUAAAGAGUACGUAGGCGGUCUUGUAGGUUGGGUGUGAAAUCCCACAGCUCAACUGUGGAACUGCGCUCAAAACCCCAAGACUUGAGGGAGACAGAGGUAAGCGGAACUGAUGGUGGAGCGGUGAAAUGCGUUGAUAUCAUCAGGAACACCAGUGGCGAAGGCGGCUUACUGGGUCUCUUCUGACGCUGAGGUACGAAAGCUAGGGUAGCGAACGGGAUUAGAUACCCCGGUAGUCCUAGCUGUAAACGAUGAGCACUUGUUCGAGGGGACUUCCACAUCCUCUCGGACGUAGCGAAAGUGUUAAGUGCUCCGCCUGGGGAGUAUGGUCGCAAGGCUG